AGCAUAUCAAUAAGCGGAGGAAAAGAAACCAACAGGGAUUACCUCAGUAACGGCGAGUGAAGCGGUAACAGCUCAAAUUUGAAAGCUAGCUCUUUUUAGGGUUCGCAUUGUAAUUUGUAGAAGAUGCUUCGGGUGUGGCCCCGGUCUAAGUUCCUUGGAACAGGACGUCAUAGAGGGUGAGAAUCCCGUAUGUGACUGGGUGCUUUCGCUCAUGUGAAGCUCUUUCGACGAGUCGAGUUGUUUGGGAAUGCAGCUCAAAAUGGGUGGUAAAUUUCAUCUAAAGCUAAAUAUUGGCCAGAGACCGAUAGCGCACAAGUAGAGUGAUCGAAAGAUGAAAAGCACUUUGGAAAGAGAGUUAAACAGUACGUGAAAUUGUUGAAAGGGAAGCGCUUGCAACCAGACUUGCGCGCUGAUGAUCAUCCGGGCUUCUGCCCGGUGCACUCGUCUGCGCUCAGGCCAGCAUCGGUUUCGGUGGUGGGAUAAAGGCCUUGGGAAUGUAGCUUCUUUCGGGGAGUGUUAUAGCCCUCGGUGCAAUGCCGCCUACCGGGACCGAGGACCGCGCUUCGGCUAGGAUGCUGGCGUAAUGGUUGUAAGCGACCCGUCUUGAAACACGGACCAAGGAGUCUAACAUCUAUGCGAGUGUUUGGGUGUCAAACCCAUACGCGUAAUGAAAGUGAACGGAGGUGAGAACCCUUAAGGGUGCAUCAUCGACCGAUCCUGAUGUCUUCGGAUGGAUUUGAGUAAGAGCAUAGCUGUUGGGACCCGAAAGAUGGUGAACUAUGCGUGAAUAGGGUGAAGCCAGAGGAAACUCUGGUGGAGGCUCGCAGCGGUUCUGACGUGCAAAUCGAUCGUCAAAUUUGCGUAUAGGGGGCGAAAGACUAAUCGAACCCAUCUAGUAGCUGGGUGCUGCGA
rnacentral:rRNA from 1 species